rnacentral:lncRNA from 1 species
GGACAUAGUUCCCCUUGGAGACUCCUUCUAGCUCGUCGAGGCGCUCAAUUGCAAUUCGAUCAACCUGAAAACCCGCUGCACAUGUCAGAAUGGGAGCAAAACUCUACAUUCAGGUAAGAAAGUAAAUCAGCUUUCAGACUCCCACAGGAUUGAGAAACAUUGAGAAAGAGAUAGGUCUCGAUUGGAGGGAAUAAAUGUUUCAGGCUUGUAAAACGAACCUCGUAAAGCUCCCCUCGGACAUGAUGGCCCAAGGACGGAAUGUCGAUCAAGAACGGCACUUGAUAGGGUCCACAAACCAUGGGAAACAUUUCUUUCGUUCUGGCAAAGCCCAAGAACCGGGCAUGGCCUUUGGAACACACAUCCUCCAUGAGCCAGUAGUUCGAAAAGCCCUUCUUCAAGGUCCCAUAGACGAAAGCGUAGGUCAUGGGAGGGCAUUUCAACGAUGUCGAAUUAGUAUUCACUCCAACACACUCUUUCACUUCCUUCAACUCCGUCGCUAAGCAGCGGUCAACUGCAUUCGAAGUUCUAAAUUUCCGCAUGUCAACGCUAUACUCGUGAGCAACACAACUAUCGGAAUGCUGAUGUUUCUCCUGCGAUUGCUGCUGCAGGGGCUUGGUUUUGGAAGGAAGAGCAGAGGAGGCAACAAUUGGGCGAGGACCUACGACCACCAUGACUAUAGCCUUUAUUUUUUUUUAUUUCACAACGCCAACAAUGUGUCCGAGCACU